UAACAUGCUCUUGUCCUGAAUAUGUCUUUAAGAGAAUUCCAUACAAAGAUCGUCUCGUCAGCUUUUACUUAAAGCAAUAUAUGGAAUUAUCAGUUAAAGAAUGUGCAGAGAAGUGUUCGGAAACGUCAAACUGUGAUUCAUUUUCUUACAAGCCAGAAACCAUCGGCAUUAGUGAAUGUUAUUUAUGUUACAAACGAGCAUGGGCUGGGCAAGUAUCUGACCAGUAUGAUGGUUUAGUUACAUACUGGCGCUUAGCAGAUAGCUGCCCUGUAGAUUAUAUCUACAAUGAAACUUACAAUGUAUGUUAUAAGCAGUACAUAGAAACCCUUAAAGACUGGUUGACUGCCAUGGAUCAGUGUGAACAAGAUGGUGGAUAUUUGUUUAUUGCUAAUACCAUGGACAAGUUGCAGAUGCUGGAUGACUACUUAAAGUCGUUACCAGCGUCUUCCUCAACUUUAUUCCGUUAUAUUGGUGCCACCGAUAAUGAGCACGAAGGUAUAUGGGAAUGGCUGGACGGAUCUGAAAGAUUUCAUUGGUCUGGCACAGUACCAAAUGGAGAUGACACUACGAACUGUGCAGGACUGAACCCGAAACAAACUCAACCAUCUCAACUUC